GACGAACGCUGGCGGCGUGCUUAACACAUGCAAGUCGAACGAAGAGCGAUGGAAGCUUGCCUCUAUCAAUCUUAGUGGCGCACGGGUGAGUAACGCGUAAUCAACCUGCCCUUCAGAGGGGGACAACAGUUGGAAACGACUGCUAAUACCGCAUACGAUCUAAUCUCGGCAUCGAGGAUAGAUGAAAGGUGGCCUCUACAUGUAAGCUAUCACUGAAGGAGGGGAUUGCGUCUGAUUAGCUAGUUGGAGGGGUAACGGCCCACCAAGGCGAUGAUCAGUAGCCGGUCUGAGAGGAUGAACGGCCACAUUGGGACUGAGACACGGCCCAGACUCCUACGGGAGGCAGCAGUGGGGAAUCUUCCGCAAUGGACGAAAGUCUGACGGAGCAACGCCGCGUGAGUGAUGACGGCCUUCGGGUUGUAAAGCUCUGUUAAUCGGGACGAAAGGCCUUCUUGCGAAUAGUGAGAAGGAUUGACGGUACCGGAAGAGAAAGCCACGGCUAACUACGUG
rnacentral:rRNA from 1 species